rnacentral:lncRNA from 1 species
AUAAUCUCAGGAAGAGCUAUUAUAGGUUGUGCAGUGAACCAGGAAGCUGUCUUCCAUAUAACUAUUUCUCUCCACUUGUUGCUUGCGUUCAAAUGCUUGUGCUAGAUUCUUGAUAGUCAUCUUUGUUCUUGCUCGUGCGUCAAUUUUGUCAUUAAUUCAAAUGCCUCUAUUUGGAAUAUUACUGUUGCUAUUUAUAGUUGCUAUUUAUACUUGUGUUUGAGUUUUUGUUGCAAUUGUUGCUAGGAUUACAAAAAAAGAAAAAAUUGUCAGGUUUUGCGUUGAUUCUUUAUCUAAGACUCCAAUUGAGAGAUCCUAGCUUUCAUCCUUGCUUCUACUUGAACCAAUCUAGUCUCAUAUUGUGUCUGAGCUUGGCAAAGUUAGGACGUUAUUUCCUCACUUGAGUUUCUAGAAUUCCCGUGAUGAUUGUUCCUAAUCAUGGAUAGUAUCAUAGGACGACGGACAGGGAAAGAGUUUGUUGGAGGGAGCUUUUAACACCUCAGAUUCGUUAAUGAUGGAGUCUUAAAUAUCAAAUGUUGUUGAAAUUAAUUUGCCUUAUAUAAUGGUGGUUCAUAAAAUCAUAAUGCUUAUAAUUAAAGUGAAAGUCUAAUACAAGCAUUUGUUCAAUAAGAAACUACUAAUACAAGUAAUUAUUUAAUAAUAAGCUAAUGAGAUGCGAUAAUAGAAAUUGGAUAAGAAAUUACUAAACUGUGUUGUUAAACUCGUACGAUUCGUAUUGAAUUAGUAGCUUACCAAUACGAAUCGAUGGGUGAAUUACAGCGAGCCAAGAAUCAUAUAAAUUGAAGGUGAAUCAUGGGAAUUGUUACAAAUCAACGGAC